UGGGCAGAGGGAUCCUCCUCCUCCUCCUGUCACCACAGAAUGUGAUAAAGCCCCACCAAGCCCUACUUGCUGGAGCUCAAGAAUGCUGUGGUUUCACCAGUUGCUCUCUUUUGGCUUUGGAACGACGUGGAGCCCACUGACUUUCUCAUUCAGAGGGAGACAGACCUCAUCCAGCUGGGGCUCAACUGAACCAUGGGAGACCCAGGCUCACAGGAGGGACAAACCUACUCAGGCAUUAUUCAAGGGCUGCAUCUGCUGAACGUUCCUCUUGAUGAAGAGCCUUACCCAAGCCUUCCUGGCUAGUCUGAAAGGCUGCAUUUG